rnacentral:rRNA from 1 species
CGUGCCUAAUACAUGCAAGUCGAACGGUCUUUCUAUGGAAGCUUGCUUCCACUGAGAAGAUAGUGGCGAACGGGUGAGUAUCACGUGGGUAACCUGCCCAUAAGAGGGGGAUAACAUCCGGAAACGGGUGCUAAUACCGCAUAGUUUUCUUGAUCGCAUGAUUGAGAAAGGAAAGACGGCCUUUGUGCUGUCGCUUAUGGAUGGACCCGCGGCGUAUUAGUUAGUUGGUGAGGUAAUGGCUCACCAAGACGAUGAUACGUAGCCGACCUGAGAGGGUGAUCGGCCACAUUGGGACUGAGACACGGCCCAAACUCCUACGGGAGGCAGCAGUAGGGAAUCUUCCGCAAUGGACGAAAGUCUGACGGAGCAACGCCGCGUGAGUGAAAGAAGGUUUUCGGAUCGUAAAACUCUGUUGUCAGAGAAGAACAAGUUGGAGAGUAACUGCUCCAGCCUUGACGGUAUCUGACCAGAAAGCCACGGCUAACUACGUGCCAGCCGCGGC